rnacentral:rRNA from 1 species
GACGAACGCUGGCGGCGUGCCUAAUACAUGCAAGUCGAACGCAGUGGGGACGGGUGAGUAACACGUGGGUAACCUCCCAUCAGAGGGGAUAACACUUGGAAACAGGUGCUAAACCGAUACUGAUGGAUGAAACCGCGGUGCAUUAGCUAGUUGGUGAGGUAACGGCGCACCAAGGCCACGAGGCAUAGCUGGCCUGAGAGGGGGAUCGGCCACACUGGGACUGAGACACGGCCAAGACUCCUACGGGAGGCAGCAGUAGGGAAUAUUGGGCAAUGGACGAAAGUCUGACCGAGCAACGCCGCGUGAGGUAAGAAGGUUUUAGGAUCGUAAAGCUCUGUUGUUGGAGAAGCGGUAUCUAACCAGAAAGCCACGGCUAACUACGUGCCAGCAGCCGCGGUAAUUC